rnacentral:snoRNA from 1 species
GGGCCCCCAUGAUGUCCAGCACUGGGCUCUGACUUUGGCUUGAGGACAUGGUGCCCCCUGGGACUUUGACACCCAGAGGUCUGAGGGGCCC